UACGGCGGUCAUAGCGAAGGGGAAACGCCCGGUAACAUUCCGAACCCGGAAGCUAAGCCCUUCAGCGCCGAUGGUACUGCCCUGGGGACGGGGUGGGAGAGUAGGACGCCGCC
rnacentral:rRNA from 1 species